rnacentral:lncRNA from 1 species
UUAGCAUGUGCAGGGAAGAGCAACAAAGCUGAUGAAGGGACUGGAAAACAAGACGUGAGUUGCAGCUGAGGGAGCUGGGGCUGUUUAGUCUGGAGAGGAGGAGGCUGAGGACAGAUCUCAUCUUUCAGGUAGUUAUAGAGAGUGUCUUUAAGUAAGGUGGGUGUUGGUCUCUCCUGGUUAAGCUAUGCAAAGUUUACUGCACAGUGCAGGAGAAGCAAACAGCUCUGCAUCCAAGGGUACUCUCAUCUGCCAGCCAUGCUUGUCUGUCCUAUGUGCCAUAAACUGACCAUAUCAAUCCACAAAAUGUGAAGCACUUCUGUUACUAGAAUAAUGAAUGUGUUGAUGUCAUCAUAAUUACUAUGACAUCAGGUUUUCCCUGAUGUUACAAACACUUGCAAUAGCACUCGAGUUUUCAUUUUCUUGGCAUAAGUUUUGAGAAUAGUUUCUAUCUUGGAGUUUUGCUACUCCACCAUGGAUUGGGAGGGAGAGUUCUGGACGGGCUAUCUGCAUAAUUUUUGGAGCUUAACUAAGGAUUUGAAAUUCCUAUUUGCAGCAGUGGAGAUCCAUUGGUCAAAAAUUUAAAACAGAUUGCCAUGGGGAGGUACAGAGAAGCUGCAUUAGAUUGCGUGGUCUAGGCAUUUGGCUCUGCUACAGGGAGCCAAAGUGUCAUCGUUUUUAUAUCAAGUACCAGGUAACGAAUAGUUGGGAAACAGCUUACAUAACCCUAUGGUUCAAGGCAUCAAGUUUUCUCCACUGUCAGGAUGCUAACAAGAUACUGGACUAGUUUUUGGUUGGAGUGGUUCUUAAGACCAGAGUGAAAUGUCUUACAACAUAAACAGGGGUCCUUCAAUGGCAAAGAUGUUCAUAACAUCUAGCUUACUUGAAUAGGAAAUGAAUGUGUGUUUAUAUAGGUGUAAGCAGUUUAUAUUG